rnacentral:lncRNA from 1 species
AUUUAGAUUUGGUAUCAUUAUGAUGUGGACAAAACUGGAUAUUUGGAAACCCCAAAAUUUAAGAAAUUUCUUGAGGAUCUCAUUACUUCUGGAGGAAACAAAACCACAACAAAAGAAGUUGAAGAAUAUGCAAAACACAUGAUAGAAACUUACGAUCUCAACAGAGAUGAAAAAAUAAACAUAUGUGAACUCUCUAAAUUAAUCAGCAUUCAAAAAAACUUUUUAAAAGGUUUUAAGAAACUAAGCCUUAAAGACUUUGAUGUUAUUUUUGAACACUACAAUCGG